GAUGAACGCUUGCGGCGUGCCUAAUACAUGCAAGUCGAGCGAACAGACGAGGAGCUUGCUCCUCUGACGUUAGCGGCGGACGGGUGAGUAACACGUGGAUAACCUACCUAUAAGACUGGGAUAACUUCGGGAAACCGGAGCUAAUACCGGAUAAUAUAUUGAACCGCAUGGUUCAAUAGUGAAAGACGGUUUUGCUGUCACUUAUAGAUGGAUCCGCGCCGCAUUAGCUAGUUGGUAAGGUAACGGCUUACCAAGGCAACGAUGCGUAGCCGACCUGAGAGGGUGAUCGGCCACACUGGAACUGAGACACGGUCCAGACUCCUACGGGAGGCAGCAGUAGGGAAUCUUCCGCAAUGGGCGAAAGCCUGACGGAGCAACGCCGCGUGAGUGAUGAAGGUCUUCGGAUCGUAAAACUCUGUUAUUAGGGAAGAACAAAUGUGUAAGUAACUAUGCACGUCUUGACGGUACCUAAUCAGAAAGCCACGGCUAACUACGUG
rnacentral:rRNA from 1 species